rnacentral:tRNA from 1 species
GCUAGUAUAGCUCAAUUGGUAGAGCAGCUGAUUUGUAAUCAGCAGGUUAUGGGUUCAAUUCCCCUUACUAGCU